GAUGAACGCUGGCGGCGUGCCUAAUACAUGCAAGUCGAGCGAAUGGAUUGAGAGCUUGCUCUUAUGAAGUUGGCGGCGGACGGGUGAGUAACACGUGGGUAACCUGCCCAUAAGACUGGGAUAACUCCGGGAAACCGGGGCUAAUACCGGAUAACAUUUUGAACCGCAUGGUUCGAAAUUGAAAGGCGGCUUCGGCUGUCACUUAUGGAUGGACCCGCGUCGCAUUAGCUAGUUGGUGAGGUAACGGCUCACCAAGGCAACGAUGCGUAGCCGACCUGAGAGGGUGAUCGGCCACACUGGGACUGAGACACGACCCAGACUCCUACGGGAGGCAGCAGUAGGGAAUCUUCCGCAAUGGACGAAAGUCUGACGGAGCAACGCCGCGUGAGUGAUGAAGGCUUUCGGGUCGUAAAACUCUGUUGUUAGGGAAGAACAAGUGCUAGUUGAAUAAGCUGGCACCUUGACGGUACCUAACCAGAAAGCCACGGCUAACUACGUGCCAGCCGCCGCGGUAA
rnacentral:rRNA from 1 species